rnacentral:rRNA from 1 species
CUACGGGAGGCAGCAGUGGGGAAUAUUGCACAAUGGGCGCAAGCCUGAUGCAGCGACGCCGCGUGAGGGAUGACGGCCUUCGGGUUGUAAACCUCUUUCAAUAGGGACGAAGCGUAAGUGACGGUACCUAUAGAAGAAGCACCGGCCAACUACGUGCCAGCAGCCGCGGUAAUACGUAGGGUGCGAGCGUUGUCCGGAAUUAUUGGGCGUAAAGAGCUUGUAGGCGGUUUGUCGCGUCUGCUGUGAAAAUCCGGGGCUCAACCCCGGACUUGCAGUGGGUACGGGCAAACUAGAGUGUGGUAGGGGAGACUGGAAUUCCUGGUGUAGCGGUGAAAUGCGCAGAUAUCAGGAGGAACACCAAUGGCGAAGGCAGGUCUCUGGGCCACUACUGACGCUGAGAAGCGAAAGCGUGGGGAGCGAACAGGAUUAGAAACCCCGGUAGUCC